AUAGCAUCAGCUCUCUAAUAUAGAAGCUAGUAUAUUACAACACGUUAUCAGCACGAAGCCCUGCCGGAACUGAGAAGGUAUAAUUUUAUUUAAAUGUACACACAGAUAUAUAUAUAUAUAUAUAUAUAAGUAGACGUGGUUAUACCCUCUACAAUUAAUUUAAAUAUAUGUGACCGGAGUAGACGUGGUUAUACCCUCUACUAAUAAAUUUAUAUAUAUAACUGGAGUAGACGUGGUUACACCCUCUACAAAUAUUUUAACUACAUAUGGCCGGAGCACCGCCUAUUUACGGUACCAUAUAAUUUUGGGUAAUACCGAAAUAUAGUGGGAACCUUGAUUUAUAAAUUGCCUGCUUAUCGGAUAAUAAUUCUUUUGUGCCUAACUAACUUAUGCAGGAUUUAUCACUUAAAUAUAUUAUUGGUUGGAGAUAACCUGUAUACGCAGACGUCCGUAUGGCGGGGGGAAAUCCAUUUGUCAUUUUAUAUAUAGAUCUGUUCAUAAUAUCGAUGAUAAUAAUGAUAUACACAUUCAUUAUUGCUUACUUGUUAAC
rnacentral:lncRNA from 1 species